GGGCGCGUAGCUCAGUUGGCAGAGCAGCGGACUCUUAAUCCGCGGGUCGUAGGUUCGAUCCCUACCGCGCCUACCA
rnacentral:tRNA from 1 species